rnacentral:rRNA from 1 species
CCUACGGGAGGCAGCAGUGAGGAAUAUUGGUCAAUGGACGAGAGUCUGAACCAGCCAAGUAGCGUGAAGGAUGACUGCCCUAUGGGUUGUAAACUUCUUUUAUAUGGGAAUAAAAUGUUCCACGUGUGGGAUUUUGUAUGUACCAUAUGAAUAAGGAUCGGCUAACUCCGUGCCAGCAGCCGCGGUAAUACGGAGGAUCCGAGCGUUAUCCGGAUUUAUUGGGUUUAAAGGGAGCUUAGGGGGAUUGUUAAUUCAGUUGUGAAAGUUUGCGGCGCAACAGUAAAAUUGCAGUUGAAACUGGUAGUCUUGAGUACAGUAGAGGUGGGCGGAAUUCGUGGUGUAGCGGUGAAAUGCUUAGAUAUCACGAAGAACUCCGAUUGCGAAGGCAGUUCACUGGACUGCAACUGACACUGAGGCUCGAAAGUGUGGGGAUCAAACAGGAUUAGAUACCCUUGUAGUC